rnacentral:tRNA from 1 species
GUCAGUUUGUCCGAGUGGUUAAGGAGUCAGACUUGAAAUCUGGUGGGCUCUGCCCGCGCAGGUCCAAAUCCUGCAGCUGACG